rnacentral:rRNA from 1 species
CCUACGGGUGGCUGCAGUGAGGAAUAUUGGUCAAUGGGCGCGAGCCUGAACCAGCCAAGUAGCGUGAAGGAUGACUGCCCUACGGGUUGUAAACUUCUUUUAUAAGGGAAUAAAGUGAGGCACGUGUGCCUUUUUGUAUGUAUUUUAUGAAUAAGGAUCGGCUAACUCCGUGCCAGCAGCCGCGGUAAUACGGAGGAUCCGAGCGUUAUCCGGAUUUAUUGGGUUUAAAGGGAGCGUAGUUGGGUUGUUAAGUCAGUUGUGAAAGUUUGCGGCUCAACCGUAAAAUUGCAAUUGAUACUGGCAGCCUUGAGUACAGUUGAGGUAGGCGGAAUUCGUGGUGUAGCGGUGAAAUGCUUAGAGAUCAUACAGAACACCGAUUGCGAAGGCAGCUUACUAAACUAUAACUGACGUUGAGGCACGAAAGCGUGGGUAGCAAACAGGAUUAGAUACCCUGGUAGUC